UAAGCUAAUAACUAGCAGGUGAUGAUC
rnacentral:piRNA from 1 species